AGGCAUUGUUUUGAUGCAUAAUUGAUACUGAAAACAAAUUUCUUUUUUCCUUUAUUGGUUCAGCAGAUUCUGGGUGUUAGUGGGUUUUUUUCUUAUUGAUAAACCAAAUAACAAGCUCUAAAGAAUUUUUUAGAAAUUCUCUCUCAUCUAUUUAAGUUUUGCCUGCUGCCAUCCUGGCUCAAAAGUCUUUUUAGAUUUAUUCAGACGUUUUUAUGAAGUAGCUGUUUGAUGGGUCUGUUAAAAAUUCUGGGUCUAAUGCCUGCUUCAUCUUGUUGCUACUGCAGCUUCACUACUUGAGUCCUCGAUU
rnacentral:misc_RNA from 1 species